rnacentral:rRNA from 1 species
UACGGGGGUGGCAAGCGUUGUUCGGAAUUACUGGGCGUAAAGGGCGCGUAGGCGGCAUAACAAGUCAGAUGUGAAAGCCCCGAGCUCAACUCGGGAACUGCAUCUGAAACUGUAUUGCUUGAGUUCUGGAGGGGGUAGUGGAAUUCCCAGUGUAGCGGUGAAAUGCGUAGAUAUUGGGAGGAACACCUGCGGCGAAGGCGGCUACCUGGACAGUGACUGACGCUGAGGCGCGAAAGCUAGGGGAGCGAACGGG